rnacentral:rRNA from 1 species
UACGGAGGGUGCAAGCGUUAUCCGGAUUCACUGGGUUUAAAGGGUGCGUAGGCGGGCAGGUAAGUCAGUGGUGAAAUCUCCGGGCUUAACCCGGAAACUGCCGUUGAUACUAUCUGUCUUGAAUAUUGUGGAGGUAAGCGGAAUAUGUCAUGUAGCGGUGAAAUGCUUAGAUAUGACAUAGAACACCUAUUGCGAAGGCAGCUUACUACGCAUAUAUUGACGCUGAGGAGCGAAAGCGUGGGGAGCGAACAGG